rnacentral:rRNA from 1 species
AACGAACGCUGGCGGCAUGCCUAACACAUGCAAGUCGAACGAGACCUUCGGGUCUAGUGGCGCACGGGUGCGUAACGCGUGGGAAUCUGCCCUUCGGUUGGGAAUAACUGAGAGAAAUUUCAGCUAAUACCUUAUAAUGUCUUCGGACCAAAGAUUUAUCGCCGAGGGAUGAGCCCGCGUAGGAUUAGGUAGUUGGUGGGGUAAUGGCCUACCAAGCCGACGAUCCUUAGCUGGUCUGAGAGGAUGAUCAGCCACACUGGGACUGAGACACGGCCCAGACUCCUACGGGAGGCAGCAGUGGGGAAUAUUGGACAAUGGGCGAAAGCCUGAUCCAGCAAUGCCGCGUGAGUGAUGAAGGCCUUAGGGUUGUAAAGCUCUUUUACCCGGGAUGAUAAUGACAGUACCGGGAGAAUAAGCUCCGGCUAACUCCGUGCCAGCCGCCGCAGUAA